rnacentral:rRNA from 1 species
UACGUAGGGGGCAAGCGUUGUCCGGAUUCAUUGGGCGUAAAGAGCGUGUAGGCGGCCAGGUAGGUCGGUUGUGAAAACUGGAGGCUCAACCUUCAGAGGUCGACCGAAACCAUCUGGCUAGAGUCCGGGAGAGGAGAGUGGAAUUCCUGGUGUAGCGGUGAAAUGCGCGAGAUAUACGAAGGAAAGAACCAGCCCGUAGGCGGAAAGCGGCGAUCCGUUC